rnacentral:rRNA from 1 species
GUCCUUUUGUUUAAAAUUUAAGGUCUAACCUGCCCACUGAUUAUUUAAAUGGCCGCGGUAUUUUGACCGUGCUAAGGUAGCAUAAUCAUUAGUUUUUUAAUUGAAAGCUGGAAUGAAGGGUUGAAUGAAAAAAUAACUGUCUCUUAUAAAUUUUAUUAGAAUUUUAUUUUUAAGUUAAAAAGCUUAAAUGAGUUUAAAAGACGAGAAGACCCUAUAGAGUUUAAUAUAAUUUAUAUUUUUUAAAAAAUAGUAUUUAAUUUUUAAAAUAUUUGUUGUAUUUAGUUGGGGGGAUUGAAAAAUUUAAUAAACUUUUUUUUUAUAUUUAUAUAAAUUAAUAGAUAUUUGAUCCAAAAUUUUUGAUUAUAAGA